UACGGAGGGGGCUAGCGUUGCUCGGAAUCACUGGGCGUAAAGGGCGCGUAGGCGGACUUUUAAGUCGGAGGUGAAAGCCCAGGGCUCAACCCUGGAAUUGCCUUCGAUACUGGGAGUCUUGAGUUCGGAAGAGGUUGGUGGAACUGCGAGUGUAGAGGUGAAAUUCGUAGAUAUUCGCAAGAACACCAGUGGCGAAGGCGGCCAACUGGUCCGAUACUGACGCUGAGGCGCGAAAGCGUGGGGAGCAAACAGG
rnacentral:rRNA from 1 species